rnacentral:rRNA from 1 species
UACGAAGGGGACUAGCGUUGUUCGGAAUCACUGGGCGUAAAAGCGCACGUAGGCGGAUAUGUCAGUCAGGGGUGAAAUCCCGGGGCUCAACCUCGGAACUGCCCUUGAUACAGCAUAUCUUGAGUCCGAUAGAGGUGGGUGGAAUUCCUAGUGUAGAGGUGAAAAUUCGUAGAUAUUAGGAAAGAACACCGGUGGCGAAGGCGGCCCACUGGAUCGGUACUGACGCUGAGGUGCGAAAGCGUGGGGAGCAAACAGG